CCCGGGAGCGGGGGACCACCAGGUUGCCUAAGGAGGGGUGAACCGGCCCAGGUCGGAAAAGUUUUAUUCUUAUUCUGCUUGUUG
rnacentral:miRNA from 1 species